AGUGGUUUCUGUACACGUGUAUUCUUUGCACACACAUCUUUAAUAGAUUGGUAAUCUUCUUUGCUUCAUAUGUGUUUUUUGGCACAAAGUUAGGAUUCGGGAGCAACUUGCCCAGCAGAGUAUGGAGAUCAUUGAAACUAUUAUUUGACCAGCCGAAUUUAGCCUUCAGGAUCAGAAGAUGAAGGAUGAAAUGCAACACUAUCCACUCCUUCCCACAUCCCUCAUACGUACGAUCCUUUGCUGCCUUCUUGAGUGUCUUGAAAUUCUCUAACCCUUUAGCACUCCCUAGAGACACUUUCGGUUCAAUGUGGCGCAACAUGUCCUCCAUAUCAACAUCACGUUCCUCGUCCACCUGUGGUUCCACACACGCAUCUGUUUGAUCACCAUUUUAAUCUCCACGUUUAUAAUCAUCAUCCAUCAUAACAUGAUCAUUUUCGUUUGAAUCAUCACCACCCACUUCAUCAGAGCCAGUAUCGAUGUUUGUGUUGUUGAAAGUACCUCAUGCCUCAUCAUGGUGGGACCAAAUUGUGUAUCCAUCCAAAAACCUCGCUUUAUCAAAUGCCUCUUGAUGACAUCAGUAUCC
rnacentral:lncRNA from 1 species